rnacentral:rRNA from 2 species
UUGACCUCAAAUCAGGUAGGAUUACCCGCUGAACUUAAGCAUAUCAAUAAGCGGAGGAAAAGAAACCAACAGGGAUUGUCUUAGUAACGGCGAGUGAAGCGACAAAAGCUCAAAUUUGAAAUCUGGCACCUUCGGUGUCCGAGUUGUAAUUUGAAGAAGGUAACUUUGGAGUUGGCUCUUGUCUAUGUUCCUUGGAACAGGACGUCACAGAGGGUGAGAAUCCCGUGCGAUGAGAUGUCCAACUCUAUGUAAAGUGCUUUCGAAGAGUCGAGUUGUUUGGGAAUGCAGCUCUAAGUGGGUGGUAAAUUCCAUCUAAAGCUAAAUAUUGGCGAGAGACCGAUAGCGAACAAGUACAGUGAUGGAAAGAUGAAAAGAACUUUGAAAAGAGAGUGAAAAAGUACGUGAAAUUGUUGAAAGGGAAGGGUUUGAGAUCAGACUUGGUAUUUUGUAUGUCUUGCUUUCGGGUGGGGCCUCUGCAGUUUACUGGGCCAGCAUCGGUUUGGACGGUAGGAUAAUGACAUUGGAAUGUGGCACUACUUCGGUGGUGUGUUAUAGACUUUGUUGAUACUGCCUGUCUAGACCGAGGACUGCGUCUUUGACUAGGAUGCUGGCAUAAUGAUCCUAAACCGC